rnacentral:pre_miRNA from 1 species
UUAACUCGAAUUUGUAUGGAGUUGGAACAGCGCCUCUAGCGGCAAACUUAGGCAAACAUUCCAACUGCAUACAAAUUUUAACUU